GGGGUGGUAUGUUCCAGAAUAGACUUGGACCCAAAGCCACAAGCACAGUGUUCCCACGGGCCUGAUGCCUAGCCGUGGAAGAACCAGGAGGUCACAGGGAUGUGCCUGGCAGCACCAGAACGAGGCAAGCUCUGUGUGUGUGUGUGUGUGUGUGUGUGUGUAUGACCAGGAAUGUCACAUGUCCAUGCCACUAAUGCCAAAGGCAGCAUGGACCAAGUAAUCUCACUUUUUCUUUUAUAAAAAUAAGUUUAAAAAGAGACCAAGCAUAGUGUAGUGGUUAAAGUGCGGGCUCUAGAGCCAGACAGGCUGGGUUUGAAUCCGGACUGCUCUACCUGCUCCAAGCUGCUGUGACCUCAGGUCAGUUGGUUCAUCCGUCUCUCUGUCUCAGUUUUCACAACUGUAAAAUGGGCAUCAGAAUAGUAUCUACCUCAUAAGGUCAUUGCAAGGAUUAAAUGAGCAACUGUGAAUGAAGUGCUUGGAAGUGGACCUUACACAGAGUGAACACUGCACAGGUGUGGUUGGUCCUUACUGCAGGAAUGAAAUUCCAUAUCAAUCAAUCAGUCAAUGCCAGGCCCAGGCCCAGGUCAGUGUUGAGCUCUGGCCAACUGGGCCCAUGUGGGGCGUGGCAGGACCACCAGCGUCAGCACAUCCAAAGUCCCUGGACCUGCUGAGUUGACAGAGGGCCUGCCCUGGCACUCCCCAGCCCUGAAGAAAGGCCUAGAAAAGUGCCUGGCCUUUCUAGGUGUUAGUGGGUGGAGGAAAUGGAAGUGGGAGACCCCGGCCUUGGCUGCAGGCUCCUUCCAUGGCCUACUGGUCUCCCCUGCCUUCGCUGUAGGGCUGGGCCUGGCUGACUAGUCACUGGUGCUUUUCUACGGAGAGUGGAAGGUACGAGGGUGCAGGACUCAUUCCAUGGGGCUGUAGUAAUGAAUGUGUGCUUGUGGGGGCUCAAAGUCCUCCAGCUCAUGGGUGCUCCCCUACUCCGCCUAGAAUUUCACAGCAGCUAGUCCACAUCAGCCUUCUGGCAUUAAUUCUUAGCUGACUUAGAUUUCUAAUGAUUUCAUCCAGCUCGUCAGUCAACAAACACUUAUUGAUGCCCCAUUGUGUGUCACACUAUUAAACUUUAGGCAUACAGAGAUCUGUCUUGAAUGAUAGGACCAGAAUGUGGGGUCCCAGAUUGAGGUGGGAAAGGGGUUCCCAGUUGGAGGAAUAAUGUGGAGCCCACCCACGAUGUGAGAUGUGACUGGAGGGAGGGCAAAUGUGAGGAGGUGGGGCAGGAGGCAGGGUUGGAGGGGCAGAUCAGGAAGGGGCCCAUGGGUCUGGCUUUAUCUGCAAGGAGCUGUUGAAGGUGAGAUUUCAAGUGUCUAGAGAGUGAGAGGUGUUCUAAUAUCCCACAAGGUUGGCGCCAGGAGCUAUGCAGUGAAUCUUUGCAGGUCAGUGUAUCGCUGGGGUGUAUCUGAGGGUCCAGGUUGCCCCUAUAUUGUAGACCACAUGACUGGCUCAUUCUGGAGUUAUGCAAUGGCAGUGUCCCUGUGGCAUUUGGGGACCUGGUGUUUGGAUGUCAGUGAAUGGGUGCCCAACUGUGCAUGACAGCCAGUGUCUAUGGGCUUGUGAUUCAACCAAUAGCUAUGGGGGGGUAUGUGUGUCUGUAUGCGUGUCUGCCAUGAUUGGGCCACUCCCUAGCUCCUGGGGGGCUAUUUUUAGAGGUGUCAGCCCAUAGAUAUGGCCAUACCCCGCACCCCAUCCUAUGCACACCUGCUAAGGUGUGAACACCUGAAGAUGAUUCCCCAUCUGGGGUUGUACCUGGCUGGAAGGUGCAUCUCUGGGCACCAGGCCAAGCAGGUGUUGGCUUCCCUGGGAGCCUGGCCUGGGAAGGAGAUGGGAAUCGGGCAGUGAAGGGGCAGGGUCUGGGUUGGGAGUAGCUAGGUCUUCAGGCCCUUGUGGGGACUGAGAGGGAGAUGUCCAGGGGCCAUCCACUCAUUUCUGUCUUCCCAUUUGUCCAUCCAUCCUCCAGUGUCUUUCAGUCCAUCUGCUAGUCUAUCCAUUUGUCCAUCCCUGGUCCUCCCCUCCAACAGCCUGCCCCUUUGGGUACCUCAUUCUCAAGUCCUCUGAUGCAGGCUGUGAUCAGAGGCCUCGCCAUGACCCUUGAUGGCUCUCGGGGUCAUAGCACACCCUCCUCAUCCCUGGUGCUCAGCCCGCCCAGUCGGCCUCCACUUCACCCCGUGGGUGUCAUGAGGUCCUGGCACAGACAGGGCACUCCCUUGCUAGUCCUGGAAUCAAAGGUGCUCAGAUGACCCUUCCAGCCUUCUUCCCAGAAUGUCUUGCCGUACAAGGCUCCUCUCCUCCAGGGAGUCCUCUCUGACCACCCCGCUCUGAUCCUGCGUCCUCAGGCCUCACUCUGCUGCAGCCAUGUGCAGGCCAUGGGAAGCCUGGCCCAGGCCCAGUGGGAAUAGAGCCAAGCACUCCUAGAUGGGGAGGGGGCACCUAAAACAGGGAGCUCCCUCAGAGCAGGGGGCCAGGGACAGCCAUGGGGCAGGUCACAUGUUGUCCCCACGCCCCGCACCCCUGUGGGGGGAUUUCCUGGGAUGUGGCCCAGACAGAUCUUCCCCCACCCAGAACUCCAGCACAGUGCUGUGGCUCCCCCAGGGAGGGUUUUUCUGUAGAAAAUGGGGAUUCCCACAUUCUCCCAAACAGAUGCUCGAAGCUGCUGCUUCCCUGGGACCCCCCCAAAGUCCUUACCCUGGCUUGGACUCUGGGUGUGGGGGAUUGGCCAGGCCAGAGAAGGACAGAUCUCUUGGCGUUGCCCUCUCUGGGGCCCAGUAGAACUGGGGGGAUAUGGGGCAAGGGUGGGGGUAAUUAAGUAUAGAACAAACGUCUGUGCGCGCGUAUUUGUGUGUGCGUGUGUGUGCAUCUUCAUUUAUAGAGCAAACAUUUCUUGAGCACGUGGGAUGUGCCAGGCACUGUUACAGGCAUUGAAGAAACAGCAGUGGACAAAACCCACAGGGGCACUGUCCUCAGGAGGCUGAUGUUCUGGAGCCAGGCGCUGCUGGGUCUGUGCCAGUGUGUGCUGGGAAGUGGGAGUGGGGCGAGAGGCUGUGUGUGGAUAAGGGGCCUAUCCGUGAACAGGGUCAGGCCUAAGCAAGGCCGUGUGCAUGUCAACUUGAUUGUGUGUCUCUGGAGGGCUGGCCGUGGGUCCCCUGGGUCUGUGCUAGGCAGUUGGUGUGUGUCUGUGCAGGCCCCAAACUGGCGUGCACAUGCAUAUCAGCCAGUUUGGGAUGCUAGGUGGCAGCCACACCUGGCUGACUCCCAGGCUGCUGCGCUCUUAUUUUUAGAAGUGACAGCCUGUAGAUCCCCCCGCAGAUCUGCUCAGGUGCCCAGCCUCUGGGGAGGACCAGCUGGCCUGCGGGGGCAGGGAAUCUAUCUCAGCCAGUGCCACUGGCUCUCUGCCACGCAGGACCACACUUCAAAUGGAGCAGCCUCUGACCUCUAGCUAAGCAGGGGGGCUGUGCCUGGGGCCCCAAGAUCCAUGGGGAAUCCCAGGCCCCACCCUUGCACCCCUACCUCCUACCUCCCAGGAACGUCCCACCCCUACCCCCACUUUGUAGGAGGUGCAGCUCUGGAACCCUCCAGGAUGCCGCUGGGCCACCGUGGACAGCCCUGUCACCCUGAGAGGUGGGCCAGGAGGGUGGGAGGUGGAAGGAGAGGAGGGACGUGGGUCACAGAUGACUUCCUCUCUUACCAAAUGGCUGGGCCCCUCUGUCACUCCCUCCUUCCAAGGGGCUUCUUUCCUGGCUGCAGGUGGACCGUCCAGAGAGGCAGAAGAGGCUGGACUGCCUGUAUGUCACUCUCCCCUGCCUCUGAGCCCUCCUUAUUCUCUCCCCUUUGUCUUCCUUAGGUCUCGUCUUCUCUCUCCCUCAUCAUCUAAGAGUUUAUAACAAUGUGCACUGAGCUCCAACUAUAUGGUAGGCAUGGUGCUAAGCGUUUUACAGGUAUGACCUCAUUUAACCAUCACAACGACCAGGUGAGGUCACUGCUGUCAUCCCACUUGACAGGAAGAAAGCUGAGGCUCCAAGGGAUCCAGGACCCAGCGAGGAGGGCGCAGAGUCGGUUCAAGCCCAGGCUCGGAUGCAUCCUUAGUUACACUCUGUCUCUGGGCUCACUCUCUGCUGUUCUCCUCCCAGAUGUGGUCUUGGUGGGAGCUGAGCUGUGGCCCAGGAGCCCCUCCCUGGGCUGUGGGAGGGGAUGUGCAGAAGGAGGAGAGAAUGACACAUAUUUGGAACCCAGGCACGAACCAGGGAGGCUGGAAGUCCUCUCAAGGCUGGCGCGUAGCCUUUCCUGCACCACCACCAUCUCCUCCUCCCCAACAACACCCUCUCAAUCAAGUGCAUUUGCUCCUGCUCUACCACAGGCCUCUGCGCAGGCUGCUUUCCUUCCGGGACAGCUAAAGGGUGGCCCAGUGUUUUGUUGGUUCGAAUCCCGGGCAUGGACAUGGCACUGCUCUUCAAGCCACACUGAGGCAGCGUCCCACAUGCCACAACUAGAAGGACCCACAACUAAGAAUAUACAACUAUAUACCAGGGGGCUUUGGGGAGAAAAAGGAAA
ensembl:lncRNA